rnacentral:misc_RNA from 1 species
UUUCCGUAGGUGAACCUGCGGAAGGAUCAUUCAUAAUAAAGUGUUUUAUGGCACUUUUUAAAAAUCCAUAUCCACCUUGUGUGCAAUGUUAGAUCUCGUCAAUCUUGGCGAGAUUUUUAUACAUCAACUCAUUCUUUAACUAAUUUGUCUGAAAAAUAUUAUGAAUACUUAAUUCAAUAUACAACUUUCAACAACGGAUCUCUUGGCUCUC